AAAAUAGAAAGAAUACAAAUAAAGGCGCAUACGCGGGAAGGGGCCCCCACUACUUCUUCAUUCAGGGGGGAGGGGGGAGACUAGCCUCAUUACUUCCCACUGGGCGAGAGGUGCACCUAACCCACCUACCCACUCAUCAAUCACGGUGUUCAGCUGACUUGCACUGAUAGACCCCUAUUGUAUUGGAAUUAGGCGCCCAUCUUUUUACUGUUGUCAAUGAAUCUCUUCCAUGUUCGAUUCUACUCUAUGUUAGAACAUUUCUGUGAAUGAGGAAUUAGGCGCCCAUCUUUUUAUUGUUGUCAAUGAAUCUCUUCCAUGUUCGGUUCUACUCUAUGUUAGAACAUUUCCGUGAAUGCUAUUCUGAUCUAAGUGGUCUUAUUCUUCGUCCCGUGCUAGGAAGUAUUACUCCUCUUUUCAUUCCAAAUUCAAGAAUACGACCGAUACGAUUAAUUGG
rnacentral:lncRNA from 1 species